GUAGGUGGCAAGCGUUGUCCGGAAUUAUUGGGCGUAAAGCGCGCGCAGGCGGUUCUUUAAGUCUGAUGUGAAAGCCCACGGCUCAACCGUGGAGGGUCAUUGGAAACUGGAGAACUUGAGUACAGAAGAGGAAAGCGGAAUUCCACGUGUAGCGGUGAAAUGCGUAGGGAUGUGGAGGAACACCAGUGGCGAAGGCGGCUUUCUGGUCUGUAACUGACGCUGAGGCGCGAAAGCGUGGGGAGCAAACAGGGAUUAGAUACCCUGGUAGUCCACGCCGUAAACGAUGAGUGCUAAGUGUUAGGGGGGUUUCCGCCCCCUUAGUGCUGCAGCUAACGCAUUAAGCACUCCGCCAGGGGAGUACGGCCGCAAGGCUG
rnacentral:rRNA from 1 species